UCGGGGCGUGGCGCAGUCUGGUAGCGCAUCUGCUUUGGGAGCAGAGGGUCGCUGGUUCGAAUCCAGUCGCCCCGAU
rnacentral:tRNA from 1 species